GCGCAACCCAACCUGCUGCCGAGCCCCAGCCGGGGACGGGGUGGGGGCCCCGCGGCGUGACUGACAGCACGGGAGGACCAAUCGGCGCCCAGCACCCCAACGAGGAAGGCGGGGCCCGGCACAGCCGCCGGAUCCUUUCCAGAGCGAAAUCAUGCAGGCAGAGCGCUGAUGAGUGACAGCAGAGGGGAAAGAGGUGGCAAGAGCUUGCGAAAGAGAGGAAACACAUGCCGUCUGAGCUUCGGAGUCAGAUGGAGAGUAAAAGAGGUGGAGGUACCUAAAAUCUAUCCCAGAUGCCAGAAGCUACGGGGGAGGAGGCCCUUGCACCUGCAGUGACCAGACUGUGCGAAAGGAAUGCAGGCUGUGGAGGAGGAGCGGCUCCUGGGACAGGCUGUCGGUCCACCCAUCAGUCAGUCACAGGAGGCUCUGGAGCUCGCCAAGCUGUGAAUCUCAGACAGGGACCAUUAAUCAACCGACAGGAGACGACUGCAGCCCUGAGCCCACUGUGACUGAUCCAGAAAGCAGACGAUUAUCGCUAAGGAGGAGACAGCAUCCCUCAGGCACGUCUAUCCGCUGGCCUGGGGACUCGCUGCGUGUGCUGGCUGCAGGCCAAUUCUGGCCCUGCUCAGGCUCCUCUGGGCUACUCCCACGGUGCCCAGGGCAGAACAUCACCCCAGGCCACGCUCCUGGGGCAAAGGGGUCUUCCCUCUGGUGUGGGACUAGCAGAGCAGCCCAAAGCCACCCCCAUCUCCUGGUGGAGCAGCGUGCCCAGGCCAUGAGAGGCACCCACGCUGGGCAUGUGGUUGGGCCACACUGCAUUCCAGGGAGCAGCUCAGAGCUCCGAGGGCAUAAGGAUGAGGUGACGCCCCCUGUCGUCCCUGCCUGGUUUGCACCUCCUGCAAAAUGUGGCCCAGAAUCGAGCCCUGGGUUCUGGAAGAGCCACCUGGGGCAGGAGCAGAGGGGCUGGAUCAGCGCGGCCCACCUCACGCUUCGCCAGCCUCCAAUGGCUGCUCCUCCCAGCUUGGCUAGAGGGAGGCAACCCCCAGGCCAGCCCAGCCCCUGCAACCAGGAGUGUGGCUCCUACCUGCUGUGCUGGGGCAAGCUCAGUCCAACUCGCCUGACGGAGCUGCUGCCCACAGGCCCCCAAGGAUCCUGUGCGUGCAGGGCAAACACCGAGCAAGCCCCCCCGAUGUAGGACAUGUCUAAUCGAUUAGGUCCAUGCUGGUGUCUGGCCACCAGCUGGCAAAUAGACACAACAACUGGAGCCCCCAAGAGUCAGGCCCCUCCCUGGAUCUAGACUCCCAUCCGCUUCCCCGCACCACUCAAAGCCAAGAGGAGGAAUAGUCUCCCCCCCCCCCCCCCCCGCCUCAACGCCAUGUUUAUUCCCCAGCACGCAUGGGACGGUUCCCAUUUUGCUCGGCUCAGCCAUGUGCACCGUCCCCCAGGAGAGGAGCUCUCCUUGCCGUACAGUCGCUGGGAAACCUAUUGGAAAAUUGAGUCUUUAAUUGCAUCUGGCAUGUCCCAGGCUCCCUGACGGCAGCAGCCACCAGGCUCCAAAGUGACAUCACGCUGUUGCUAAGCCCAAGGCCAGAUGCCACUCCGGCUUUGCAGGAUAUUGGAUUGGACUGAGAAGGGAUAACAGACAUGGCAUCAUCGCACGAGGGAAAUGAACGAGAACCAUGACCAGGCCAGUUUUACUCUUCCACCCCGAGAGCAUUGGAGCCUAAUCAACAGAAGAGUCAAUUAGAUUUGUAACAAGAGCCCUUUCGCUGUACUCUUUCCCUGCCUGCAAUUUAAUAUUAUUCCAGUGUAGCAAAGGGAGAGUCGAUAGAUUUGCAAAAAACAACCCCACCCUGUAAAAAUUAAAAUAAUUCAAGCCCCACAUCCAGCAGAGUGCUUAAAUAUUUGCUUCACUUUGACAUCCCUGGGAUGAUCUACGUGCUUAAAGUUAAGCAGGUGCUUAAACAUUGUGCUGGAUCAAGGCUUAACUGCUGGAUUUCCAACUCUGAACCCCUAGAAUCCUUGGGGCUUCCCAGUUAAACUCUUCUGGACAGCCUGCGUGUUACUCCUGAUGAGCUGGUAUUUUCAGAAGUGCCUAAGGGAUUUAGGAGCCAGGCUUUUCGGUAAACCACAGCCAUAAUUCUGUGUAGGAAAAGGAAGAGAAAUAAGCGUGUUGCUUCUGGUCUCCGGAGUCCCCCACCAGCCUGCUUGGUAAAGCGUGCCCAUGCCAUCUGCCAGCAGAGGCCAGAUUAGCUUUGCUUGGAGGGAGGGGCAGCCCCCAUCUCCCACAUCUAUUGCUUCCUAUUAUCCAUAGCCACUCUCCAGUUAGGAAAUGAAUUCAACACCACCCAGGAAAAGUGGCCAUCCCUUUGCAUCAAACACGGUGCUUUUCCAGCCCCAGCUGUGCUUCGUUAUUCUGCUACUCUAAGCUGGAGGUGAAUUAACGUGCCAAUGAAGCUACAAUUAGUUCUCAGCCAAAAUAAACGACGUUAAGAUGGAGAGCCCCCCAUCAGCAACUGAAGGAUAAAAACAUGAGAGGGACGUUAUCAUUGUCCUCAAAGCAAGCACUAGAAACCCAGGAAAAUCAGAGUGAAGGCUGUGCUGAAAAGCAAUCCAAACACGUUACCGUACAGAAACUCCCCGCAAAGCACCCGAGCCAACCACAGCGAUGCCAUGCAAGCACCACACGAUUAUGAGUAAGGCAUGUGAGCUCCAAUUCAA